rnacentral:rRNA from 1 species
AAUAUUGCACAAUGGGGGAAAUCCUGAUGCAGCGACGCCGCGUGAGUGAAGAAGUAUUUCGGUACGUAAAGCUCCAUCAGCAGGCAAGAAAAUGACGGUACCUGACUAAGAAGCCCCGGCUAACUACUUGCCAGCAGCCGCGGUAAUAUGUAGGGGGCAAGCGUUAUCCGGAUUUACUGGGUGUAAAGGGAGCGUAGGUGGUUUGGUAAGUCAGAUGUGAAAGCCCGGGGGUCGACCCCAGGACAGCAUUUGAAACUAUCAAACUAGAGUGAAGGAGAGGUAAGUGGAAUUCCUAGUGUAGCGGUGAAAUGCGUAGAUAUUAGGAGGAACACCAGUGGCGAAGGCGGCUUACUGGACUGUAACUGACACUGAGGCUCGAAAGCGUGGGGAGCAAACAG